rnacentral:rRNA from 1 species
UACGUAGGCAGCAAGCGUUGUUCGGAAUUACUGGGCGUAAAGAGUGUGUAGGCGGUGCUCUAAGUUUGGUGUGAAAUCUCCCGGCUCAACUGGGAGGGUGCGCCGAAAACUGGAAUGCUUGAACGUGGGAGAGGAAAGCGGAAUUCCUGGUGUAGCGGUGAAAUGCGUAGAUAUCAGGAGGAACACCUGCGGUGUAGACGGCUUUCUGGACCAUAGUUGACGCUGAGACACGAAAGCGUGGGUAGCAAACAGG